UACGUAGGCAGCGAGCGUUGUUCGGAGUUACUGGGCGUAAAGAGUGCGUAGGCGGUUUUCUAAGUUUGGUGUGAAAUCUCCCGGCUUAACUGGGAGGGUGCGCCGAAGACUGGAAGGCUUGAGUAUGGGAGAGGUAAGCGGAAUUCCUGGUGUAGCGGUGAAAUGCGUAGAUAUCAGGAGGAACACCUGCGGUGUAGACGGCUUACUGGACCAUAACUGACGCUGAGGCACGAAAGCGUGGGUAGCAAACGGG
rnacentral:rRNA from 1 species